rnacentral:rRNA from 1 species
UGCCACUCUUAACGGGGUGGCUUUUCAGAAGUGUAAAAAGCUUCUGGAAUAAGGGCUGGGCAAGACCGGUGCCAGCCGCCGCGGUAACACCGGCAGCUCAAGUGGUAGCCGCUUUUAUUGGGCCUAAAGCGUCCGUAGCCGGUCUGAUAAGUCUCUGGUGAAAUCCCACAGCUUAACUGUGGGAAUUGCUGGAGAUACUAUCAUGACUCGAGGUCGGGGGAGGCUGGAGGUACUCCCAGGGUAGGGGUGAAAUCCUGUAAUCCUGGGAGGACCACCUGUGGCGAAGGCGUCCAGCUGGAACGAACCUGACGGUGAGGGACGAAAGCCAGGGGCGCGAACCGGAUUAGAUACCCGGGUAGUCCUGGCCGUAAACGAUGUGGACUUGGUGUUGAGAUGGCUUCGAGCUGCCCCAGUGCCGAAGGGAAGCUGUUAAGUCCACCGCCUGGGAAGUACGGCCGCA